AUCUUUGCGCUUGGGGCAAUGACGCAGCUAGUGAGGUUCUAACCGAGGCGCGUCUAUUGCUGGUUGAAAACUAUUUCCAAACCCCCUCAUGGGCCUGGGUUAAGCCCUGGCCUUUGAGAAUUUCUGGAAGGGCUCCCUUUGGGGUAAAGCC
rfam:Theobroma cacao cultivar Matina 1-6 chromosome 1, whole genome shotgun sequence.